GUGAUGUGCUCACUUUGUACCGCGUA
rnacentral:piRNA from 1 species